UCCAAGGACCUAGCUGGCCUCAGUGUCAC
rnacentral:piRNA from 1 species